CCAGCAUAGUUAAUAUACAGUGUUAAGUCUGUUUCAGGUAGGAAAUCAUUUUCUGAUCCUACAAGACUGAGAGCAACACAUGGGGUCAUUGUUAAUGCCACAUUCAUGCUAACUCUGCAAGGUAGCUCAGUGUGUCCCAUAUGGCUGCCAAUCACUUUCUUCUGGAAAUUGCCAACCUUGCCUUUACCUCUUCAUUACAACUUUUUAGAGAGCACCUGGGCAUCAACAGAAGAAAAAUGUAGAGGUAGGGCUCUGGUCAUUGUUGAUCUUUGUAAACCAGGAAGAAUUCUGGGGAGAUGGAUUGUUCGGGAGCAUGAGGCAGCUUUUAACAUUUAAAGAGAAUUAGAUGCUGCACUGGGAGGAUUCAAGGGAUUUGGAACACUGAACCUCCAAACUCUGUGCUCCUCCUGAGAGCCUUGUAAAGGUUCACAUUUACUCAUCUCAGUUCACAAUUAUUAAUAAUUAACAUUGAUUACAUAUUUUGCAGCUUCAAAACUAUAGUCUGUCAAACAAAUAAUUAGUAAAUACAUAAUUUGAAACCUUGCAGUCUUAUUCAAGCUCAUGAAAAACCUGCUGCAUUUUUAAAUAAUUUUAUUAUAAUUUUACAUUAAAAUCAUAAUAAUAAAUCAGCCUAGUACUAUAUCUAAAAGAUAAAAAAUGACCAUUCAACAGGAUCAGUUACCUCUGCAGGGUUGUAAUUAGACAUCAGGACUAAUUUUAGUCCUGAGUGGAAUGACAGAAGAACUUCCUGUGAUUUUACAAAUUAUCUAAUUAUGUUUGGGGGAAAUGCCAAUUCUAUGACCCUAUAAUUUAAAAAAUAACACUUAUAAGUGGAUUAUAUAGUCUUUCCCCACAACUCUAUAGGAACAUUGAUUCCCUACUCCUCUGUCAUUACACUUUACAUGCUUCUUAGGUGAGAACCACAUUCUUCAAGCAUUUGGCAUAUGAAUACUCAGUUCCUAUGUGGUCUAUAAUAUUAUCAUGUUGUGUAUAAGGAAUGAGAGUUGUUGGAAAAAAAAGCAAAAUACUCAAAACUCUGAGCUAUAGCUAAUUAUUUUCAGUUUUUAAAUUUUGAGAUCCCAAUUUAUUAUGUACAUACAUGUGUAUCUAUACCAUUUACCAACUGACAAGUAUUACCAUUUAUAAAUACAUGGUUCAUAUAUAAUGAAGUACAGCUAUAAAUUAAUUAAUAUAUAGAAUUAAUAUAUCUGAGUUGAAAUUUACUUAUGAUUGCAUAUAAACAAAAUUAUUAAAUAAGACAAUAUCUGUACAGAAAAUAUACAAAUAGCAUAACGUAUGGCAUUAUUCAUUCAAAACACGUAUUAUUUGAAAAGUAUCAAACAUUUUUAAAAGUCCUCCUUGUAGCAAAAUGUGUUUGUGCUUAUUUGUG
rnacentral:lncRNA from 1 species